rnacentral:rRNA from 1 species
AGUGAACGCUGGCGGCAUGCCUAAUACAUGCAAGUCGAACGAACACACGGGGAGAUUUCGCCCCUGCCGUUAGCGGGGGACGGAUGGGUGACAAGUGGAUAGCAUACCUAUAAGACGGGGAUGACAACGGGAGACAAGUUCUACUAACGGCGCAUAUAUCGAACGGCAGAGUGCAGUAGUUAAUGAGGCUUUUCCUGACUGUUAGAGCUGAUGCCGCGCCGCAUUAGCUAGUUGGUAAGGUAACGGCUUACCAAGGCUACGAUGCGUAGCCGAGCUGAGAGGGUGAUCGGCCACACUGGAACUGAGACACGGUCCAGACUCCUACGGGAGGCAGCAGUAGGGAAUCUUCCGCAAUGGGCGAAAGCCUGAUGCAGCAAUGCCGCGUGAGUGAUGAAGGUCUUCGGAUCGUAAAGCUCUUUUGUUAGGAAAGAACAACAGCGUAUUUAUCCCCGGCUGUUCUGACGGUACCUAAAGAGUAAGCCCCGGCUAACUUCGUG